rnacentral:rRNA from 1 species
AAAGGAAUAGACGGGGACCCGCACAAGCAGCGGAGCAUGUGGUUUAAUUCGACGCUACGCGAAAAACCUUACCAGGACUUGACAUCCUUUGCAUAGCCGAGAAAUCGGUGAAAGUUUAGCAAUAAAUCAAAGUGACAGAUGGUGCAUGGUUGUCGUCAGCUCGUGUCGUGAGAUGUUCGGUUAAGUCCGUCAACGAGCGCAACCCUUGCUAAUAGUUGCCACAUUAAGUUGGGCACUCUAUUGGGACUGCCGUAGUUAAUACGGAGGAAGGUGGGGAUGACGUCAAAUCAUCAUGCCUCUUACGUUCUGGGCUACACACGUGCUACAAUGGUGACUACAAAGAGUUGCAAUAUGGUAACAUGGAGCCAAUCUCAAAAAAGUCAUCUCAAUUCGGAUUGUGGGCUGAAACCCGCCCACAUGAAGUCGGAGUUGCUAGUAAUCCCGAAUCAGCAUGUCGGGGUGAAUGCGUUCCCGGGUCUUGUACACACCGCCCGU